GUGUGUUUGGUACGAAGGAAAAUAUUUUCUGGAAAAUGUUUUUUAAUUUCCCAUGUUUGGUUGACUUUAAUUAUUUGGAAAAUGUUUUCCAAAUCAACUUAUUUUCCUCAAAUUUAAGGAAAAUGAUUUCCCUUAAAAAUUAAGGAAAACAUUUUCGAAACUUCUACUUCAUCCUUAAAUUAUAAUAUUUUUUUACCCCUACUACCAAACCAGCCCGCCACCCCUGUCAAAUUUUAUUUUAUUUAAAAAAUUACUUUUGAAAAAUAUUUCAGGGUCGGAAGUUUGGCUGGGGUCCUAGGUCAGAUCUCUAGGUCGGAUUUUGAACGGUCAUCAAGGUCAUGUCCUAGUUCGGGUGUUAGGGUCGGGUCCUAGAUUGAUUAUUGGGAUUGAUUUUCGAGUUAAAAGUUAUUUUCCUAAAGAGUAUUUUCUAGUCUUAAGCGAAAAAUAAAAGAUAUUUUCUGGAAAAAAAAUUCAUUCACCAACCAAACAUUAAAAAAUAGUUUCUACUCAUCAACUAAAUAUGAGAAAAUAAGUUAGAAAUCCACUUGUUUUCCAAGAAAACAUUUUCCUUCAUACCAAACACACCCUUAAUAUAUAUNNNNNNNNNNNNNNNNNNUUAUAUAUGUAUAGAUAGCUAGUAUACAUACUCGAGCGAUGUGCGGAAAAUAUUAAUAUGUUAUUUUUAAUCUUACCCCUACCCAUGCCCCUACCCGACCUUCCCCAUUCAAAAAAAUAAAUUAAAAUUUUUAAAAUUUCAAAUAUAUUUUUAUCACUACCACCAAACUAGCUCCCCCGCCCCCCUCCCCUCAAACAUAAAAAAAAAAAAUUAAAAUUAUUUUUGAAAAAUUUUUAAAUCUUAAAUUUUUUUUACCUCACCAACCCCUACCACCCCUACUCCCUUCCCCCUCAUUUUUAAUUUCCCAUGUUUGGUUGACUUUAAUGAUUUGGAAAAUGUUUUCCAAAUCAACUUAUUUUCCUCAAAUUUAAGGAAAAUGAUUAUCCUAAAAGUUAUUUUCCUAAAGAGUAUUUUCUAGUCUCAAGAGAAAAUAAAAGAUAUUUUUUCAGAAAAUAAUUUUCAUUCACCAACCAAACAUGAGAAAAUAAGUUAGAAAUCCACUUGUUUUCCAAGAAAACAUUUUCCUUCAUACCAAACACACC
rnacentral:lncRNA from 1 species